rnacentral:rRNA from 1 species
CAGUCGCCGCGGUAAUACGAAGGGGGCUAGCGUUGCUCGGAAUCACUGGGCGUAAAGGGUGCGUAGGCGGGUUUCUAAGUCAGGGGUGAAAUCCUGGAGCUCAACUCCAGAACUGCCCUUGAUACUGGAAGUCUUGAGUAUGGGAGAGGUGAGUGGAACUGCGAGUGUAGAGGUGAAAUUCGUAGAUAUUCGCAAGAACACCAGUGGCGAAGGCGGCUCACUGGCCCAUAACUGACGCUGAGGCACGGAAGCGUGGGGAGCAAACAGGAUUAGAUACCCCCGUAGUCCCUGUCUCUUAUAC